UAUUGAACAUUGAAACUCUGCCUCUUUCCAGAGUACAACAAGUUAACUCUAGCUACCUGAAGCCUCCUUUAAUGUUCACUUGAAGGACUAAUGGAAUUGAGUGGAAGCUCUUCUCAAUUAAUAAUAAUGCUAUUUAAAAAUUUCAUGUUGAAUCAGAAUGUAAUGCUUUAUGUGAAAAGAAUUACUAAGUAUGUCCAUACAGUGUCAGUUGAGAAAUGUUCUGAGAAUGGUACUAUCAAUGUAGAUGAUAAGCUGGUGACAUUUGGUCUCCCCAAAAAAAAAAAAUCGCAUCUAAAAGGCAAAGUGUUUUAAAUAAAGGUGUAUAGGAUUAAUUACUGCUGCACAGUGUUACAGAAACAAGCUGAAAAACAGGAACAGAUUCUUCUUUCCUCUUAAACAAUUCAACCAUCAAAAUAAAUUUAUUGAAAUAAAAAAACUGUUAAAA
rnacentral:lncRNA from 1 species